GAUACAUGUAGUCUUUCUCCUCUUCCUUAACAGUGUGCACCUUGUGAGCAAGAGAAGCUUGGCAACAUGUUUUCUAACCAUUUUCUUCCAUAAAUUUCUUCACAAAACUUCAUGCUAGUAACCUAAGGAGCAAAACCUACCAACUUGUUCAUCCUUAGGAGCUUUAUAUGAUGAGUUCUUCAUCCAUAUGUCCAGCGACCAGCAGCUGCCCUCUUGGUUAAAUGAUGUGUUUUCAUGCCCUUUUGAUGAGAAGUUGAUGAAUUAGUCUCCUACAAGCAUUAAAAGGUUGAAGAACAAGUUUAGAGGCAUUGGAUUAAAUACGUGAAAUUCAAGCAAGCUUGGAAUUGAGCUUUUUAGAGGAGGUAGCAGUGGCACAGGAAUGGCGGGCAAGAUGCUCGUAGGAUGAGUCAUGAGAGCAUUGUCAUUACUUGUUCAUGAUAUAUAUUGUGCAUGUGUCUAGUUAGUUAUUAUUUCAUUCGAAGUUAUGUUUAAAGCUGUAAAUUCAAGUUCAUAUUUCAAGUUGUAAAUUCAAGUUAUAAAUAUGUAUGUUGUUAUAUUUAAAUGAGAUGUUGUAAGUAUGCAUGAAUAUUGAUGUAAUAUGAUGUAAGGGCUUUAGGCCUAUUGUAAGAUGAUAAUUAUGUACUUAUGUUGAGAAAUGACAUGUAAAUGGAUCCGUGUGAUUGAAACAAGUGAAGGAUUUUAAAGUGAGCAUUAUAGUAUAAACUAUGUAAUAAAUAUAAAUUGGAUUGGGUUGUA